rnacentral:rRNA from 1 species
AUUGAACGCUGGCGGCAGGCCUAACACAUGCAAGUCGAGCGGAUGAAGGGAGCUUGCUCCUGGAUUCAGCGGCGGACGGGUGAGUAAUGCCUAGGAAUCUGCUUGGUAGUGGGGGAUAACGUCCGGAAACGGGCGCUACUACUGCAUACGUCCUGAGGGAGAAAGUGGGGGAUCUUCGGACCUCACGCUAUCAGAUGAGCCUAGGUCGGAUUAGCUAGUUGGUGGGGUAAAGGCCUACCAAGGCGACGAUCCGUAACUGGUCUGAGAGGAUGAUCAGUCACACUGGAACUGAGACACGGACCAGACUCCUACGGGAGGCAGCAGUGGGGAAUAUUGGACAGUGGGCGAAAGCCUGGUCCAGCCAUGCCGCGUGUGUGAAGAAGGUCUUCGGAUUGUAAAGCACUUUAAGUUGGGAGGAAGGGCAGUAAGUUAAUACCUUGCUGUUUUGACGUUACCAACAGAAUAAGCACCGGCUAACUUCGUG